CCUUCCCGUACUGACAGCGCGUAAUUACAACUACGUCUUCCAAACCAGUAUCCAGUGAACGUAAAUAUCAUUAAAACAACAAAUUUAAACCACUUGGGCCGACGCAUUGUGUCGGAUAUUGACGAUAUUAUUGAAAGUAUUGCCAUUUAUAUUUUGCCUGUUUACAAAUGAAAUAUGAAACCUUAUGACACUACAUGAUUGUGCAGUGACGCGUACGCACAUAUGGUUACAUAUUUCGCGGCCGUUCCUAGUCACAAGCGGCCCAAUCUCUGAAUGGUCUAUAUAUUUGAAUAUUUAUACGGAAUAUUUAUACGUUAUAAUAUAAGGCAUUUGUUGUGUUUCUGAGUCAAGUUGAUGAUGCGAUUGCUUUACGUUUUCGUCGCGUACUUGAAUG